AGAGUUUGAUCCUGGCUCAGAACUAACGCUGGCGGCGUGCCUAACACAUGCAAGUCGAGCGGUCACCAAUUUGUAGCAAUACAGACGAAGUGAUAGCGGCAGACGGGUGAGUAACACGUAGGCAAUCUACCUUUCCGUCCGGGAUAACUAGCCGAAAGGUUAGCUAAUACCUGAUACGACCACUAGGCGGCAUCGCUUGG
rnacentral:rRNA from 1 species